rnacentral:rRNA from 1 species
GAUGAACGCUGGCGGCGUGCCUAACACAUGCAAGUCGAACGGAAAGACGAGUAGCUGCCGCGUUUCUCGUUAGCGGAAGGCGGGAGAGUAACGCGUGGGUACUCCACUGCUAUUACGGGGAUGACUGCGGAACUGCGGCUAAAAUAGCAUAGGAUAAUGUGUACGGUACGAUUCAAGAAAGAUUUACCGUUUUGGGGUCAGCUAGAGACGGAUCCGCGCCGCAUUGGCUUAUUGGUAGGGUAACGCGUUAACAAGGAUACGACGCGUGGCCGAGCUGAGAGGGUGAUCGGCCACACUGGAACUGAGACACGGACCAGACUCCUACGGGAGGCAGCAGUCGGGAACAGGAGGCAAUGGGCGAAAGCCUGACGCAGCGAGGCCGCGUGAGUGAUGAAGGCCUUCGGUUCGUAAAGCCCUGUUAUUGGGGAAGAACAACUGUGGAUGUAGACAUGGCCGUCGUGACGGUACCUAAAGAAGAAGCACCGGCUAACUACGUG